rnacentral:rRNA from 2 species
UGUUUGAUGUUCUAACGUGGACCCGUGAUCCGGGUUGCGGACAGUGUCUGGUGGGUAGUUUGACUGGGGCGGUCUCCUCCUAAAGAGUAACGGAGGAGCACGAAGGUUGGCUAAUCCUGGUCGGACAUCAGGAGGUUAGUGCAAUGGCAUAAGCCAGCUUGACUGCGAGCGUGACGGCGCGAGCAGGUGCGAAAGCAGGUCAUAGUGAUCCGGUGGUUCUGAAUGGAAGGGCCAUCGCUCAACGGAUAAAAGGUACUCCGGGGAUAACAGGCUGAUACCGCCCAAGAGUUCAUAUCGACGGCGGUGUUUGGCACCUCGAUGUCGGCUCAUCACAUCCUGGGGCUGAAGUAGGUCCCAAGGGUAUGGCUGUUCGCCAUUUAAAGUGGUACGCGAGCUGGGUUUAGAACGUCGUGAGACAGUUCGGUCCCUAUCUGCCGUGGGCGCUGGAGAACUGAGGGGGGCUGCUCCUAGUACGAGAGGACCGGAGUGGACGCAUCACUGGUGUUCGGGUUGUCAUGCCAAUGGCACUGCCCGGUAGCUAAAUGCGGAAGAGAUAAGUGCUGAAAGC